UACGAAGGGGGCUAGCGUUGCUCGGAAUCACUGGGCGUAAAGGGCGCGUAGGCGGACUUUUUAAGUCAGGGGUGAAAUCCUGAGGCUCAACCUCAGAACUGCCUUUGAUACUGAGGGUCUCGAGACCGGUAGAGGUAAGUGGAACUGCGAGUGUAGAGGUGAAAUUCGUAGAUAUUCGCAAGAACACCAGUGGCGAAGGCGGCUUACUGGACCGGUUCUGACGCUGAGGCGCGAAAGCGUGGGGAGCAAACAGG
rnacentral:rRNA from 1 species